rnacentral:lncRNA from 1 species
GCUCAGGUACCCUUCCAUACUGUGGAAGCUUUGUUCUUUUGCUCUUUGCAAUAAAUCUCGCUGCUGCUCACUCUUUGGGUCCACACUGCCUUUAUGAGCUGUAACACUCACCAGCGAAGGUCUGCAGCUUCACUCCUGAAGCCAGCGAGACCACGAACCCACCGGGAGGAACAAACAACUCCAGACGCGCCACCUUAAGAGCUGUAACACUCACCGUGAAGGUCCGCAGCUUCACUCCUGAGCCAGUGAGACCAUGAACCCCACGAGAAGGAAGAAACUCUGAACACAUCUGAACAUCAGAAGGAACAAACUGUGGACAGGCCGCCUUUAAGAACUGUAACACUCACCGCAAGGGUCCGCGGCUUCAUUCUUGAAGUCAGCGAGACCAAGAACCCACCAAUUCCGGACACAGUGGUAUAGAAAAAUAUGUUAUUUUGCUGUGUUUAUUUCGGGACUUUGAACUAUCUCAAAUAUAGAAAUCUAAAGCAGCAACUUUUAUUUAUUUAUUUAUUUUUGAGACAGAGUCUGGCUCUGUCUCCAGGCUGGAGUGCAGUGGCGUGAUCUUGGCUCACUGCAACCUCCACCUCCCGGGUUCAGGCAAUUCUCCUGUCUCAGCCUCCUGAGUAGCUGGGACUACAGGCGCGUGCCACCAUGCCCAGCUAAUUUUUGUAUUUUUAGUAGAGGCAGGGUUUCACCAUGUUGGCCAGGAUGGUCUCAAUCUCUUGAAGUCGUGAUUCGCUCAUCUCAGCUUGGGAUUACAGGCAUGAGCCACCACACCCGGCCCUAAAGCAGCAGUAUUUGUAAUGAUUCCCUAGCUCUCCAAAUGAGGAUAUUUUGUAAAUAGGUAGAAGGAGGAUAACAAGAUCCUAAUUAUGUAGUAGUAUUACAGUAGGAUCCUUAGAUUUAUGUGGACCUUUAUUUUAUUCUUUUGGUGAUGUUUAAUGAUUUGGGGGAUGGUAAGAGAGGAAAUAUGUUGGGGACAUAGGCCAAUUAUAAGGAGUUAAAGUUUGCUUUAACUCCUUAUAGUCUCUCCAUUUGUUUUGUUUUUGUUUAAUUUUGUUUCUGAAAUAAAUUUUCAUUAAGGAAGAUUUUUGCUAAUAGGCAAUAUUGAUUCGAAGGGGCUGCUGGGGUGGGUGGUGGCCAUCAGGACGGCCACUCAGCAAAUUAACCACACGAAAAAGCAUGUUAAGCCUUACUGCUUAGGAAAAUAUUUACCCUUUUUAUUUUCAUUAGCCACCUCAGAUCCUAUUCUGAAUUGAUAUUGAGGAAUACAAAACUGCACUGUUUCUGGGUUUAGUUGGAUGGAGUUUUCAUUUCACUGUUUUAUAUAGUUUCUCAUUAGACGUCCUUCAACUCAAAACAAACACUCCAUCCACCCAUCAUUUUUUCUGUGGGCUCUGUGACUUGGCUCUGAAGACCCAUUUGCAACACAAGAUUGAAAUCCACUCAUCAUUCCUGGUUCCCCUUGGCUGUCACCUAGUCCUUGAAGCUCAGAAUACCCAAGGCAAAGCCUUGUUCCCAGAGCACAAUAUUUUUUAUCUUUAUUACUGUACUUUGUUAAUCUCCCUUGUAGUUUAGUAAUUUUUGUCUCUUUCUGUUCCCCUUUCUGUUUUGUAAGCUCAUGAAAGACAAGCAUUACUUCCCUUUCUGUAUUUAGGGACAAUUCAUUACUUACCAUUUAUUUAUUUAUUUAUUUAUCCAGCCUGUCGCCCAAGCUGGAGUGCAGUGGCACGAGUUUGGCUCACUGUAACCACCGUCUCCCAGGUUCAAGCGAUUCUCCUGCCUCAGUCUCCCAAGUAACUGGAAUUAUAGGCGUGUGCCACCAUGCCUGGCUAAUUUUUGUAUUUUUAGUAGAGAUGGGAUUUCACCAUGUUGGCCAGGCUGGUCUGGAUCUCCUGACCUCAAGGGAUCCACUCAGCCUCCCAAAUUGCUGGGAUUACAGGCAUGAGCCACCAUGCUAGGCCUCAUUACUUACCUUUUAUACUUAAUGGCCAUGUAUUUUUGUUUGUGUGUAUAUAUAGCAUCAUCUGUAAUUCCCAGCCUAAGGCCAGGAACCCCUGGCAAAAUAUUCAUUACCUAUUUUUGAUGUUAAAUAUGAUUAACUAUACCUCAUUAAUUAGAAUGUAUAGGUUAAACAAAGCCUUUAAAAUUGUUUUUACUCAAAUUAUUUCAAGUUUGUUAGUGCUAAUUAGAAGCUUUGAUUGGCUUUUAAAAUUUCUUGAUUAAAAACCGAACAAACUGAUCAAAUGAUCUUUCUACAAUAAAGGGGUACUUGGUGAAAAGAUUGGGAACAAUUAUAUUUGGUAUCUAGUUAAAAAAAUAUAUGUACCAGGGUUUGUUUUUUAGACAGGAUCUUGCUCUGUUGCCCAGGCUGUAGUAAAAUCGCAUGAUCACAGGUCACUGCAGCCUUGACCUGCCAGGCUCAAGCGAUCUUCCCACCUCAGCCUCAUGAGUUGCUGGGACUACACUAUAGGUGCAUGCCGCCACACCCAGCUAAAUAUUCUAUUUUUUUAUAGAUACAGGGUUUGGCCAUGUUGCCAAGGCGGUCUCAAGCUCCUGGGCUCAAGUGAUCCUCCUGCCUCACCUCCCAAAGUGCUAGGAUUUCAGGCAUGAGCCAUCACACCUGGCCUGUAUCCCAAUUUUGCCGUUUCUUUUCUAAAUCCAAAUUUUUGUUCAAAUAAAUAGCAAAUUUUAAACAAGUGCAUAGUCAUUUCUUUUCUACCAGAAACAUCUUGAAGAAGUCUUCUUAAAAUAUCAGGCUAGCUGUGUUUCUAAUUCUUUUAAAAAAUCGAAAGUUGGCUGGUCCGAAGUUAGUGAGUUAUCUCAAUUGAUUGUUUACAGUCAGUUACAGAUCGAACUCCUUGUUCUACUCUUUCCCUCCUUCUCACUGCAGCAAUUAAAAAAAUCUGAACUAAUUUUAUGAGUAAAAAUAUGUCUUGUCCUUUUUUGAUUAUCCUUCUUUUUCAUAGAUUGCUAAUUUAGCCAACUAUUGAUGUUUCCUGAUAAGCUGAAUUUUCCGAAUAUUUACGGCCAGCUGUACAGACUUCAAUACAUUAACCUAGGUCAUUGGUGCUUUAAUGUUUCUCUUGGGGGGCAUCCCACCUUAUUCCACUUUAACCCAAUGCCUUAGCUAAAAAUGUUUGAGAAAUGGAAAUUUUAUUUAUUUAUUUAUUGGCAAUAGAGCCUCUCCAUUGCCCUGGCUGGAGUGCAGUGGUCAUAGCUCCCUGCAGCCUUGAACUCCUGGCCUCAAGUGAUUCUCCCACCUUAGCUUCCCAAAGUGCUAGGAUUACAGGUAUGAGCCACCACACCCGGCUAGAAAUUUUACUUGUAAAUGUUACAAAGUUAGCAAUUCAAUAUUAAUUGAGAUAAUUAACAUGUAUUUGCUAAUUUAAUAUAUAUAUUAAUUAUAGCAUAGUAUAUCAAUAUAGUCUAACCCUAAAACUUCAUUAGUUCAUUAAUUUGAGUCUCUUAGAAUUUCUAAUUCUAUUGGAUCAGAUUAAGUUCCUCUAAAAAUCUAUUGGAAUGCUUUAUUUUUUUUAUUUUUUGAGACAGGGCCUCACUCUGUUAUCCAGGCUGAGUGCAGUGGCAUAAACACAGUUCACUGCAGCCUCUACCUCCUGAGCUCAGGCCAUCCUUUCUCCCUAGCCUCCCAAGUGGCUGGGAUUUCAGGUGUGUGCCACCACGCCUGGCUAAUUUUUGUGUUUUUUUUUUUUAUAGAGAUGGGGUCUUGCAGUGUUACACAGGCUGGUCUCAAACUCCUGGGCUCAAAUGAUCCUCCCACCUUGGCCUCCCAAAAUGCUUGGAUUACAAGUUUGAGCCACAGCACCCUACUUUUCUUCUUCAAAUUUGAGAAAUGUGUUUUUUUGUGAGGUUUUUUUCUUAACUUUCUAAAAGGCUAUUUGAAAUAGCAAGUUAGCAAGUUAAACCUUAAUUUUAGGGUUAGCAUAAGUAUUGCCAUACGAUGCAAUAGUUUGGUGAAUUGUGAUAAUAAUUUUAAAAAGUCAUUUACAGCCAGGUGAGAUGGCCCAUGCCUGUAGUCCCAGCUCCUUGGGAGGCUGAGUUGGUAGGGCAGCCUGAGUUGAGUCUAGUUUGGGCAACAUAGUGAAACCUAUUUUCUAAGAAAAAAGAAAACCAGUGAAUUACUACUACGAUGUAAUUGCUCACUUUCUAGGCUGGGUGCAGUGGCUCAUGCCCGUAACCCCAGCACUUUGGGAAGCUGAGGCAGGCAGACUGUUUGAGCGCACGAGUUUGAGAACAGCCUGGGCAACAUGGCAAAACCCCAUCUCUACAAAAAACACAAAAGUUAGCCAGGCGUAGUGGCGUGCACCUGUAGUCCCAGCUACUCGGGAGGCUGAGGCACGAGAAUUGCUUGAACCCAGGAGGCGGAGGUUGUAGUGAGCUAAACGCACCACUGCACUCCAGUCUGGGCAACAGAGCAAGACUCUUGUCAAAAAAAAAAAAAGGUAGUAUUUCUUAUAUCAAAAGGGCAUUUAGAGUUGAAGUUUUAAUGUUCUAGCCAUAAAGGAGGCAGAAAGCCUGGGCGUGUGGCUCAUGCCUGUAAUCCCAGCACUUUGGGAGGCCGAGGUAGGAGCGUAGGAGGAUCACUUGAGCCCAGGAGUUCAAGACCAGCCUGGGCAACCUGUCUCUCCAAAAAAAAAACGAACAAACAAAAUUAGCUGGGCAUGGUGGUGUAUGCCUGUAGGCCCAGCUACUUGGGAGACAGGUAGGAGGAUCAAUUGAGCCCAGAAGUUUGAGGCUGCAGUGAGCUUGUUUGUGCCACUGCACUCCAGCCUGGGCAUCAGAGCAAGACCCUGUCUUAAAAGAGGAAAAAAAAAAAGGAGGCAGAAAAAAUGUUUAUUAAUCCUUGCAGUUUUCAUUAAAAUAAAAAGAUUACUUUGGUAUGGCCAUGACAGAAACCCUAAAUCAUUCCAGGGCCUAGAGUGGUACUUCCCUGAAGCUGGGGAAAGGACCCUGGGCAGAAAGCAAAGGAGGGGGCAGAUCCCUGGCUGGCCUGAUGCCUUGCAACCCUGGGCUUGAGCCACAUAAGAGCAUUUAGUGAGUCAAGGCCUAAAGGAGGAGGGAACAAUUAUCUCCUGGGAAAGGGCUAUAUAAUCUGGAACACCACAGAUUUCUCAGACGCGGAGUUGAGAUUAGAGUGUCUCCUACCGCUUGAUGAAACAAUUCAGUCUACUUCAAGGACGUGCACCUGGAAAAAUGACUGGCUUCUGGAAACAGUGUUAUUCUGCUAUUUAGGAACAACCCUGCUGAUUGAGCCUCAAUAAGGAAAAUAGGCCUCAAUCAACCAUAUUUCUUAAGUGCUAGAGGACUCGUUAGACAAUAACUCUAUUACAACAAUAAGAGCACUUACUGAGUGCUUACUCCAGGGCAGCACUUCAUAUUCAUUAUAUUAUUUAAUUAAGAAGAUUUUUACUUGGCAUUAAUUUAAUAUCACUUUGGCCCUGUCAGCUGUGGUUUUACUCAGGAUUUUGUCCAAAAUCUAGAGAAACCUGAUUAUAAGAAAAUUUAAUAAGUCACAAAAUAUUAUAUUUUCUUUUCCACUGCAUUGUCUUGGUUAUUUAAAAAAAUGGUUCAGAAAUAGUAUUGUACCAAUGUUCAUAUCCUCAUUUUGGUCAUUGUACUAUAGUUAUGUACGGUAUUAAAAUAAGUGGCAUAAAGGAUAUGAGGCAACAAUUUGUACUAAAUUUGUAAUUUUCUGUAAGUCUACAAUUAGAUAAAAAUAAAGCUGAAUAAUAGUUCAUC